UACGGGGGGGGCAAGCGUUGUUCGGAAUUACUGGGCGUAAAGGGCGCGUAGGCGGCCAUUCAAGUCGGAGGUGAAAGCCCAGGGCUCAACCCUGGAAUUGCCUUCGAUACUGUUUGGCUAGAGACCGGAAGAGGUAAGUGGAACUGCGAGUGUAGAGGUGAAAUUCGUAGAUAUUCGCAAGAACACCAGUGGCGAAGGCGGCUCACUGGCCCGGUACUGACGCUGAGGUGCGAAAGCGUGGGGAGCAAACAGG
rnacentral:rRNA from 1 species